UACGUAGGGUCCAAGCGUUGUCCGGAUUUAUUGGGCGUAAAGAGCUCGUAGGCGGCUUAGUAAGUCGGAUGUGAAAACUCGGGGCUCAACCCCGAGACGCCAUCCGAUACUGCUGUGGCUUGAGUCUGGUAGGGGAACACGGAAUUCCUGGUGUAGCGGUGAAAUGCGCAGAUAUCAGGAGGAACACCGAUGGCGAAGGCAGGUCUCUGGGCAUUAACUGACGCUGAGGAGCGAAAGCAUGGGGAGCGAACAGG
rnacentral:rRNA from 1 species